UGGCGGGUAGCGCAGCUUGGUAGCGCGCCGAAAAUAUCCUUUUUCACAACUUGUCUGCAAAGACCGACGAAUGAGGGUUAUCGCAUUUUAAGCCGGAUGUCGCAGGUUCAAAUCCUGCUCCGCCAC
rnacentral:tRNA from 1 species